rnacentral:rRNA from 1 species
UACGGAGGGUGCAAGCGUUACUCGGAAUCACUGGGCGUAAAGGAUGCGUAGGCUGUAAUAUAAGUCAGAAGUGAAAUCCAACGGCUUAACCGUUGAACUGCUUUUGAAACUGUUUUACUAGAAUAUGGGAGAGGUAGAUGGAAUUGGUGGUGUAGGGGUAAAAUCCGUAGAUAUCACCAGGAAUACCGAUUGCGAAGGCGAUCUACUGGAACAUUAUUGACGCUGAGGCAUGAAAGCGUGGGGAGCAAACAGGAUUAGAUACCCUGGUAGUCCACGCCCUAAACGAUGCACACUAGUUGUUGCGAUGCUAGUCAUUGCAGUAAUGCACUUAACAGAUUAAGUGUGCCGCCUGGGGAGUACGGUCGCAAGAUUAAA